AAAUUGAAGAGUUUGAUCAUGGCUCAGAUUGAACGCUGGCGGCAGGCCUAACACAUGCAAGUCGAACGGUAACAGGAAGCAGCUUGCUGCUUCGCUGACGAGUGGCGGACGGGUGAGUAAUGUCUGGGAAACUGCCUGAUGGAGGGGGAUAACUACUGGAAACGGUGGCUAAUACCGUAUAACGUCGCAAGACCAAAGAGGGGGACCUUCGGGCCUCUUGCCAUCAGAUGUGCCCAGAUGGGAUUAGCUUGUUGGUGAGGUAACGGCUCACCAAGGCGACGAUCCCUAGCUGGUCUGAGAGGAUGACCAGCCACACUGGAACUGAGACACGGUCCAGACUCCUACGGGAGGCAGCAGUGGGGAAUAUUGCACAAUGGGCGCAAGCCUGAUGCAGCCAUGCCGCGUGUAUGAAGAAGGCCUUCGGGUUGUAAAGUACUUUCAGCGGGGAGGAAGGUGUUGUGGUUAAUAACC
rnacentral:rRNA from 1 species